rnacentral:rRNA from 1 species
GAUGAACGCUAGCUACAGACUUAACACAUGCAAGUCGAGGGGAAACGACAUCGAAAGCUUGCUUUUGGUGGGCGUCGACCGGCGCACGGGUGAGUAACGCGUAUCCAACCUGCCCACCACUUGGGGAUAACCUUGCGAAAGUAAGACUAAUACCCAAUGAUAUCCCACGAAGGCAUCGGAAUGGGAUUAAAGAUUUAUCGGUGAUGGAUGGGGAUGCGUCUGAUUAGCUUGUUGGCGGGGUAACGGCCCACCAAGGCAACGAUCAGUAGGGGUUCUGAGAGGAAGGUCCCCCACAUUGGAACUGAGACACGGUCCAAACUCCUACGGGAGGCAGCAGUGAGGAAUAUUGGUCAAUGGGCGAGAGCCUGAACCAGCCAAGUAGCGUGCAGGACCACGGCCCUAUGGGUUGUAAACUGCUUUUAUAAGGGAUAAAGUGAGUCUCGUGAGACUUUUUGCAUGUACCUUAUGAAUAAGGACCGGCUAAUUCCGUG